ACCAAUGAGUGGUUGUCGGUGAUUGGACAAUGCUGAACCCACUGUGAGCUUGUGGAGUUUCACCCGUCUCUUAGUUGACCAGCCUGAUAAACCUUUCCUCCUGAUUCCAGCAAGUUAAACAAUGUGAUCAUCUACACUGACCACAACCUAUCGACGGCUGAUCCAAGGCUUCAAGAUUGAAGUUAACGGGAGGUGAAGGUUCGCCACAGUAACAUUGGCGUGUGGGCCAGGGCCCUUGAACAGCCAGAGUUUGUGAUGUCACAAACCUCAAAAACCAAUCCGAUUCAUUGGGUGUGAGGGGCUCAGUGGCUGGAAAAAGCUCCUGAACUGCAGGUGAGAUGUGAGGGUGGAGAGAUGUGGGGCAGUGGUGGAGUCACUUUAGCAUAUCCAUAAACCCCAUUACUGAAAUGAAGGUGUGGAGCUAUAUCUCAGCAAUUUAAAGCCCAUCAGUGGAAUUUGUUCAUGAACAAAGAAGACUUAUAGGGGCUGUAUUAAACAGGUGCCAAGUGACUACACCUGACCUGACCUGAUGACAAUGUACAACACUUCAUUCAGAGGUCAAACAGCUCGAGCAGUGUUUGUGAAAUAUUAUUUUCUGCUGCUUGGACAGCUGACUCCUCAAACCCACAGACCGAGACCCUCAGAGAGAAACUCCUUGGUGCCUCACACAGAGGAAGCUGAGCGCCCAGAGAAAAUAAAAGUACUGACGUCACAGGUCUUCAGGGCACCGAGGCUGGAAUGGGAUGGGACAGUCUGCACCAGUCAGUGACUCAGGCUGUCGUCGGUCUCCUCCCCUUCCCGGAGACACACUGUGUCCCCCAUUA